GACGAACGCUGGCGGCGUGCUUAACACAUGCAAGUCGAACGGAAAGGCCCUGCUUUUGUGGGGUGCUCGAGUGGCGAACGGGUGAGUAACACGUGAGUAACCUGCCCUUGACUUUGGGAUAACUUCAGGAAACUGGGGCUAAUACCGGAUAGGAGCUCCUGCUGCAUGGUGGGGGUUGGAAAGUUUCGGCGGUUGGGGAUGGACUCGCGGCUUAUCAGCUUGUUGGUGGGGUAGUGGCUUACCAAGGCUUUGACGGGUAGCCGGCCUGAGAGGGUGACCGGCCACAUUGGGACGGAGAUACGGCCCAGACUCCGACGGGAGGCAGCAGUGGGGAAUAUUGCACAAUGGGCGGAAGCCUGAUGCAGCAACGCCGCGUGCGGGAUGACGGCCUUCGGGUUGUAAACCGCUUUCGCCUGUGACGAAGAGUGAGUGACGGUAAUGGGUAAAGAAGCACCGGCUAACUACGUG
rnacentral:rRNA from 1 species